rnacentral:rRNA from 1 species
GAUGAACGCUGGCGGCGUGCCUAAUACAUGCAAGUCGAGCGAACGGACGAGAAGCUUGCUUCUCUGAUGUUAGCGGCGGGCGGGUGAGUAACACGUGGAUAACCUACCUAUAAGACUGGGAUAACUUCGGAAAACCGGAGCUAAUACCGGAUAAUAUUUUGAACCGCAUGGUUCAAAAGUGAAAGACGGUCUUGCUGUCACUUAUAGAUGGAUCCGCGCUGCAUUAGCUAGUUGGUAAGGUAACGGCUUACCAAGGCAACGAUGCAUAGCCGACCUGAGAGGGUGAUCGGCCACACUGGAACUGAGACACGGUCCAGACUCCUACGGGAGGCAGCAGUAGGGAAUCUUCCGCAAUGGGCGAAAGCCUGACGGAGCAACGCCGCGUGAGUGAUGAAGGUCUUCGGAUCGUAAAACUCUGUUAUUAGGGAAGAACAUAUGUGUAAGUAACUGUGCACAUCUUGACGGUACCUAAUCAGAAAGCCACGGCUAACUACGUG